rnacentral:rRNA from 1 species
GACAGAGGGUGCAAACGUUGUUCGGAAUUACUGGGCGUAAAGCGCGUGUAGGCGGCUAAGUAAGUCGGGCGUGAAAUCCCUAGGCUCAACCUAGGAACUGCACUCGAAACUACCAUUCUUGAGUGUCGGAGAGGAAAGCGGAAUUCCUGGUGUAGAGGUGAAAAUUCGUAGAUAUCAGGAGGAACACCAGUGGCGAAGGCGGCUUU